GUAGGGAAUCUUGCGCAAUGGGCGAAAGCCUGACGCAGCCAUGCCGCGUGAAUGAUGAAGGUCUUAGGAUUGUAAAAUUCUUUCACCGGGGACGAUAAUGACGGUACCCGGAGAAGAAGCCCCGGCUAACUUCGUGCCAGCAGCCGCGGUAAUACGAAGGGGGCUAGCGUUGCUCGGAAUUACUGGGCGUAAAGGGAGCGUAGGCGGAUAGUUUAGUCAGAGGUGAAAGCCCAGGGCUCAACCUUGGAAUUGCCUUUGAUACUGGCUAGCGUGAGGAUGGAAGUGGUAUGUGGAACUCCGAGUGUAGAGGUGAAAUUCGUAGAUAUUCGGAAGAACACCAGUGGCGAAGGCGACAUACUGGUCCAUUACUGACGCUGAGGCUCGAAAGCGUGGGGAGCAAACAGGAUUAGAAACCCCUGUAGUCC
rnacentral:rRNA from 1 species